UUAAUAUUUAGUACGGGUAACAACUAUUCGAAUAAAAAUUCAACCAAAUACAACUAAUACAGUCAUGAUCCAAUGUCAAUAAACUUGGAAACUAAUAUAGACGGUAAACUUGUGAUAGACAGCUAAAUAAGCAAAAUGAUUCAUCAGGAGCUUUGCAUCUCCAAAGGGCUGUCAUCUAUUGUAAAUAUUGCAUCUUAGAAGAGCUGCCAUCCAUUGCAUCUCAGACCUCAGUUUGCAAUCUCCAG
rnacentral:lncRNA from 1 species